AUUCUGAACAUUUUAUGCAAGGACUAUGCGGACAUGUGGGCUUUGUGUCUGGCGGCUCUCACUCCGAAUGACGUCAUCCAGGUCCACACAGAACACAGAGCGUGCUAGCUUCUUCUUCCUAAGGCUCCACGGUUUGGAUAGGCCAUGCUCUGUUUAUCUAGCCACCCUGAGGGCCACUUGUGCUGCUCCGUUGCUGUGAACGCUGGGUUAAACGGCAACAGGAAGAUUGUCCGUCUGUCCGUGUAGGCGGGCAUGUUUCCAGUUCUUUCCGGUGCACGCCCAGGAGUGAAAUCCCUGACUCACACACGGCCGUUGUUUUUUCCCUUUUUUCAGACUCGAGCUGAUCUUCUUGCCUUCGCCCUCCCAGUGCAGAGGUUACAGGGGUGAACCCCCAACCCCAAACCAGGCUGCCAUUGUAGUGUUUAAUCAUUUGAAAAACCGCCCAACUGUUUUUCCAAAGUGGCUAUCAUUUUUGCAAUUUCAGCAGUGGCACAUGAGGAUCUCAAUUUCUUUUUGCUUCUUUUCUUGCCCCAUCCCCUCAUGCCGGAGAGCAAAGUCUGCGCUUUGAACUUGCUGGGUUCUCGGAAUCAGAGAGAAGGAGCAGGAUGCUCUUCCCAAGCCUGCCCAGCUGUGUUCAACCUCCAGGACGCACAAGAUACCCAAUCCAAACUCCAGACCUGGCUGAUGACUAGGACCAGGUCCAAGCAUUUGCUCGAAGAGAACUGUUGAUGCUGGUCACCCAGGAGGGACUCGGACCCAGUUCUGAUUACUGUCCCCUUGAUUUUUGUUUCUCGAACUUGCUCCCCACGUGGGCAAAGCGCAUGCCACACGCUGGCACAGCAGGAGGAGGCUGCCUGGCCUGGGAGCUCUGAAGAGGUGCUAGGUCUGCAGAGAGCAUCUGUUCAGGCAGCGCUGUGCUCUGUAAAGAAUUCCCGUGGAGAAGGAUAGUGACUGGCUGCUCCUCCAGAAGACUUGGGUUCGAUUCCCAGCACCCACAUGGAGGCUCGACCACUCCUAACUCCAG
rnacentral:sRNA from 1 species